GACAAAACAGUCAAAGUCCAUGAAAACCGUGACUGGUUUUAAGCUUAUUCAAGAGGCAUAUUGGUAGGCAUUGAGUUUCUUUCUCUGCACAUCUUCUCCAUUCUAUGAUGGGAAAUGUGAACACACAAAGUAUGAAGAAGCGAAGAGAAUGAAACAGUGAGUCUUUCAAAAAUAUUUCAAAGUUGGAUGACGACAAAAAAUGGUUGCAGAGAUCACAAGUCUACUAAAUGCAAUUUAAAACUUCCUGAAUUAAGAACAAUAUCAGCUGACUGACAACAAGAUGCUGUAGCAAAUCCUGAACACUUUCCUUCACUCUUUCGUCUCAGAAUGGGUUUUCCUACAAAAUGGAUAUAUGACAAGAGAGAGGUGUGUGUCUGCGAAGAACAUCAGCUCUGAGAUCUAUCAUGAUUAGAAACCCAUUAACUAGUAUUUUAAACAACUACUUUAUUGAUUCUUAAUUCUAAUUGAUUACUGAUUCGCUUAGGAUGUGUCUGUCUUAGUACGUUUAAUUUGCUUGAAAAUUUAUUAGGCAAAUCAGAUAUUUCUUUGACAUAAUAUUUUUGUUUACAUGAAGUAUACCUAAAUAUUCCUUACCCUGAACAUAGUGCAGGCAAACAACCACAAAAGAAAGAGUCUAUGUCUGCAAUCUUUCUUUUGUGCUUGCUUUUGUUGCCUAUCUCAUGCUUAUGCACAUGCGGGUAAUCAAUAUUCCUAAAAAGAAGGGUUUUAAGGACUUUUAGGUGGGAGCUUAUCUUUACAUUGAUAAUUUAAUGACAUCCAGAAUAACAUCAUGAUUUCACGUAAGACUGAGUUUUAUGCAGAUUCAGCUUGCAGUAGCUGAGGCUCUAUCUUGAACUCUACUGCCUGAAGUCCUUUGGCUGUAAUUCUCCCCAAGUGUUCCAAAUCACACCCUGUACAUUUCAUCAGGUUUCCUAUGUGGUCUAGUGGUUGUCAGUACAUAAAAAGGCAUUUUUGCACUUUCUGCUUAAAUUCAAUCUACGUGUAAGCUAUAUCCAGCUAUGUGACUGAUGAUACAAAUUCACAUUUUCCUAUACAGAAGUAGCAGGCAACAUAUUACAUGAUUUUAUACUGAGACAACUGAUCCUUUGAAAGAAAAAUCCAUGAAUCUAUUCAGAUUGGCUCCUGAAAAUAUUGUCAAAGGGGUGUAUCUCUUGAUGCUUACACAUUCCUCUGGAUUCACUGAAUGCUUAGCACGCAGAUACAAACACUUGUCAGCCUAAAGCAUGAUUCCUGUCAUUUGGUUACUCAGUUUGAGAGCACACAACAGUGAGAUGGAUGAAAUUAGGAUCUGCUUCAGCUAGAUUUACCCGUGCCUCUGUAAAAUGAUAGCUGAGGAAGGAAGUAUACAGUACUCCUAGCUGGUACAAUUAAAAGAGAAUAGAAACUCUGCAAGGAGACUUGAAAGUCCCUGAUCUUCAUUAGUGAGCUUUUAAAAUAGUCCAGCAUUCUCUAUGUCUGCUAAGAAUGAUUUCCUCAUUUCUCAUUAUGUAUGAAUACCAGUGCACUGUGCAGCUCCAGUGCACAGUUGAUUAAUAAGGUCAGAAUUAGAAAAUGAGGGCUUUCCUUUUCUUACUGUCUACUGCAUUGUCCUCUCAACAGAAUUUUCUUUGCAGUUUUACUAUGAUCUGAAAAACAGAACUUACUAGAACAGGGCUUAUGUAUUUUAUUGUGUGAGGCCCUGAAGACUGUGGGGUAUUCUUAAAUUUUUAAGAAAUAUUACACACUAGGUUUUUAGUAAUUUAGAUUACAGCCUCUUAAAAAAUACAGAAUAUCUUAGAGAAAUGCAUUAAUUGUCUACAGAGUCUUUUUUUGUUCACUAAUCAUUGUGUACUCAGACACCAUUUUGUUUCCAGAAAGAUAAGUCUUAGCUCUAUCUGAAUGAUGAACAAAGCAACUCAAAAUUGUUCAAAUGUCACAAUGUCAUCAAUCCAGAAUGACUAAAAUUCUCUUUCAUUCAGUGAUUAAAGCUCUGAAUUUUAAAUAUAUUCCAAUUUAUUUUAGCUCGUUACAAAUUACUCAACCUUCUUCCCACGACUGCAGCCAAGGUUUUGCAUGUGCUGCAAGCUAAUCCUUUUUCCAACUGUAUUUUUAUUGGUAUAUUUUAUGAGCAUAUUAUCGAGUAUUCAUCAGCUCUUCCAAAUAAAAGCCCAUGCCAAGCAUUACAAAUGUUUUUUGGAUUUGGUUGUUAUUUUUUUCCAAAUUCCUCCUUUCUUUGCCUGAGAUUAUGCAGUUUUAAGUUCUAUAAUAUUAGCUAAAGUAAGUGGACUGGUAGUUCAGUUGUUUCAUCUUCAACCACCUGAGAUUUUGGGUUUGAAAAAAUUCAUGGAAAACAAGCAAAAAAUCUGCAGUAGUCCCCACCAGACUGGCACACAAAAAGAAGGAAAUAUAAAUUUAAAGGAAUUUAUUCUUCAGCAUCAUCAAAUUAACCUAGUGCAGAAAGCAGAGUCUGGGAGAAUCACAGAGUCACAGAAAUGAUGGUUGGAAGGAAUCUCUUCUGUUUGAAGUAGGACUAUUGCAACAUAAGAACAAGACCAGUUGUGAUUUUGUCCAAUUGAGUUUUGCUUUGAGGACAAGGUUCCCACAGUCUGUCUGGAUACCAAUACAGUGACGCACAGAUCUCCUACUGAAGAAGUUAAUCUUCAUGUCCAUGUCUGAACUUCCAAGUUGAAAGUAGUGGCUGCUGUUCCUUGUUUUAAAUUCAUCUUCCAGGGAGAAGACUUCUGUCAAAGGUUCUGUCACUUUGAAAUGUUUAUUCAGGUAGUUGAAGAAGGUGUUAAAUUGCCUCCCAUCCUCCUCUUUGCCAGACUACACAAGCCCAUUUCUGUCUACUGCUCUUCCCAUGUCACAUGCUGUAUACCAGUAGCCAUCUUGGUAGCCCAAAUGGAUUCUUUUCAGUUUCUCAACAUCCACCUUUAACAGGAAGGCCCAAACUGGACAUCAUAUUCUAGGUGCAGCCUCACAUUAGGUAUGUGGAAGAAGAUAACUUCAUCUGCUGGAUCAGGAUCUUUCAGGAUGUGGCUAGAUUUUUCUGCUUUUGUGGCUGAGGCGUACUCUUAGCAUGCACUCUGCUGCAACCUCCAGGUCCUUUCUACCAGGGCUAAUGCUCAGCCAGUUUGUUCCUAGUCAUGUUUGAUUAAAGGGUUUAUUCUGCCCCAGGUACAGAUUUUUGCCCUUCUUGUGGUUGAACCCAUCCCUUGUUGUUAUGAUCCUUAAGUUUCUCAGAGUCCCUUUGGCCUAAAAUACUACUGUUGGGUGUGCCAGCUAACUCCCUCUGAGUUAGUAUUGUUCACAGAUUUGCUGCUAAUAUGUUCUGUUUUGUCACCCAGGUCACUCAUGAAGAUAUUGAACAAUACAUACCUCAGUACAGAUGUCCAGCUAAGCAGGUGUUCCAGUCAGAUGUAAAGUUAUUGAUUACUUGCUGUCAUUCUUGUUGUCUAGCCAGUUUCCACUCCAUCUAAAAGAUGGACUCCAUCUGUCUAUCUCCACUCACAUUCCAACGAGAAUGCUGUGGAAAGCAGUCCAAAGCUUUGCUAAAUUCAGAUUAUUUCACACCCACCUUUCCCUCAUCCACAUCCAAUAACCAGUCAUUUCAUUGUUGAAAGCAGUCACGCUAAUCAAGCUCACUUUUCCCUUGCUAAAUCCAUAUUGACUUUUUCCAAUACCUUCUUGUCUUUGUCAAGAUAAAUUCAUAGAAUGUAUCUUCUUACUUUUUGGAUAAACAGUCACUCAAGAAGAUAUUUGCAGAUGACCUGAUCAGCUUUUGAUUUCUGACAGAUGAGAGAUGAACUCAACAUUGCAAUAAAAAAUUGCUGUAUUGUAUCAGCUGUACCCACAGAUAAAAAAGAGUUAAAAGCGUAGUUUGGAAGCUGGCCUUGGAGACUGGCUACUGAACUUUGCAGCUGAUCUUUGCACUGUACGAGCACACAUUGCAUUAAUAAUGGAACAAAGUAAGUCAAAGUCAAAUCACUAUGCUUUUAAAAUAAUAAACUGGUUGGAAUCAGCUGCAGAGCCAUUUGACCAAAGCUCUAUCUUGCACAGAUACUGCAGUACAGCUUGGGAUCUGGGCCACAGGUCAGCUUCCUAAAUAAUUUUCUUUGCUGCUUCAUUUAUUAUGGCUUUAAAAUACAUAAUUCAUUUUAAUACACUAUUCUACAAGCUAUAGUCACAGCUAUAUAUUCCCUGGUUGUCUCUAAAAUUAACUGGUUAAACCAGGUGGUCUAUAUUUCUUAUUAAAGUGAUACAUAUGGGAACAGGAAAUAAUUUUACAGUAUCGCCAUCUUGCAGGCUUUCAGGUAGAUGCAAAACAUUAGAGUCAAAAGGAUAUGUGGGUGAACCUAUUAGUAUACUACAGAGUUCCAGAUGGCACACUAGCCAUUAUUUCAUAUACAAUCAAUAAGAAUAUCUCUAAAUUUUCAGAGUAUUAGGGGAACAGACCUCUAUACUGUUGAAUAAUCCAGGUUUCCAACAUCCACAAAUCUAUUUGCAGGCUUUGAUAUAGAUUGGUCUACCAGAAAAAGGUAAAUCAGAAAUCUGUUUCUGAAAUUAAAAGCAAUACACUAGGCAGAAAUUCUUUCCACUCUACCUAUACUGAAAGACAAACGAUAUGUAUUCAGUCCCUGAGAUUUCCGGCUAUCAACAGCUUCUUCUGACGUUGCUGAAAAAAUACCUUUCUCAUUUUAAUUUAUUCAUAUAGUUCAGCCCAAAGUCUAGUUCCACAAUUACAAAAACUAAAGUGAAUUUAAGAAGCAGAUACUGUUUUCCUUUCACUUCACUCACCUAUAUAAUGGAAGUGCAAAAAGAUAGGACUUCCCAGUUUCAAAAAUGUCAUGGGAGUACUAAUUCUUUCAUAUUAUACAUAUACAUAAUGUGUUAUUUAUAUUAUGUCUUAUUGUAAUCUAUUAUAUGUAUUAAAAAUAUAUUGCACAGUGUAUAACUACGCAAUAAUUUGUUUUCACUACAUCAAUUCAAAAUACAAACCAUUAAGACAUUAAAUAUCUACGUUAUGUUAUUUAGAUUAUUUAAAGAUG